rnacentral:rRNA from 1 species
UACGUAGGGUGCAAGCGUUAAUCGGAAUUACUGGGCGUAAAGCGUGCGCAGGCGGUGAUGUAAGACAGAUGUGAAAUCCCCGGGCUCAACCUGGGAACUGCAUUUGUGACUGCAUCGCUGGAGUGCGGCAGAGGGGGAUGGAAUUCCGCGUGUAGCAGUGAAAUGCGUAGAUAUCAGGAGGAACACCGGUGGCGAAGGCGCACAUCUGGCCCGAUACUGACGCUGAAGCUCGAAAGCUAGGGGAGCAAACGGG